CGGAGGAUCCAAGCGUUAUCCGGAAUCAUUGGGUUUAAAGGGUCCGUAGGCGGUUUAGUAAGUCAGUGGUGAAAGCCCAUCGCUCAACGGUGGAACGGCCAUUGAUACUGCUAGACUUGAAUUAUUAGGAAGUAACUAGAAUAUGUAGUGUAGCGGUGAAAUGCUUAGAGAUUACAUGGAAUACCAAUUGCGAAGGCAGGUUACUACUAAUGGAUUGACGCUGAUGGACGAAAGCGUGGGUAGCGAACAGGAUUAGAUACCCUGGUAGUCCACGCCGUAAACGAUGGAUACUAGCUGUUGGGAGCGAUCUCAGUGGCUAAGCGAAAGUGAUAAGUAUCCCACUGGGGAGUACGUUCGCAAGAAUG
rnacentral:rRNA from 1 species